rnacentral:rRNA from 1 species
GACAGAGGGUGCAAACGUUGUUCGGAAUCACUGGGCGUAAAGCGCGUGUAGGCGGCGAUGUAAGUCGGAUGUGAAAUCCCGCGGCUCAACCGUGGAAGUGCACCCGAAACUGCAUCGCUAGAGUAUCGGAGAGGAAGGUGGAAUGCUUGGUGUAGAGGUGAAAUUCGUAGAUAUCAAGCGGAACACCGGUGGCGAAGGCGGCCUUCUGGACGAUAACUGACGCUGAGACGCGAAAGCGUGGGUAGCAAACAGG